AAACGUGGGAGGCAAGCGUUAAUCGGAAUUACUGGGCGUAAAGCGCUCGUAGGCGGCCUGUUAAGUCGGAUGUGAAAGCCCCGGGCUCAACCUGGGAACUGCAUUCGAAACUGGCAGGCUAGAGUAUAGUAGAGGCAAGUGGAAUUCCGGGUGUAGCGGUGAAAUGCGUAGAUAUCCGGAGGAACAUCAGUGGCGAAGGCGACUUGCUGGACUAAUACUGACGCUGUGGAGCGAAAGCGUGGGGAGCAAACGGGAUUAGAUACCCCAGUAGUCC
rnacentral:rRNA from 1 species